UAGUCCCAACACAUGAGGCCGAGGACUUAAACAAGAUUGAAGACAACUUUGAGCUUGUCACUUAAUGAAGAAGAUAAGAUCUUUUGAACCUCAUGAAAAGACUUUCAAGGAGCCAGGAGAGCCCAUACAGGGACUCUGCCAUGCCAGAGUCUCUCAGGGACUUCUCAGAGAGAUAGGAACUGUUGGUCUCAUUUCCCCUCCUCAGCUGCAUGAAGACAUGAAGAUUGGGCCCUGUUCUAACUUCAGCAGUCAUACAUGCACAUGUGUGUGCUCCUAUGCAACUGAUCAUGUAACCUGUGGAAAAGAUGCUGUACCCGAGACACAUUCACCCACUCUUCACAAUCACUACUGGAUGGUGGUUCUGCAAUUCUGACUUUUCUUUAAGAACGUCAUGCUUUGGGUGACCUGAGCAAAGAGGGUGUUGGAGCAUCUCAGUCAUUCACAAGAUGGGACACAGCAAGCUGUUCAGAGGGAGAGCUCACAUUCACACACCUUCUGUGACAAGCUACGUUGUAACUGUUUCAUCGUGUUGUCCUUGAUAACCCAGUAUAGCAAAACUGAGGGUUACUAGAGGCUUCUAUGAGCAGGAAAAGCAUGGUAUCUAUAAGAUUCAGCCCUGUCUGGUUUCAACCUAGCACCUCCCAUCCAGGGAUAGCAUUGCCCACAGUGGGCUGGGACCACCCACAACUAUCAUUAAUCAAGAAAAAUGCCCCAUAGGCUUGCCUACAGGCCAGUCUGAUGGAAGCAAUUCCCGAGUAGAGGAAUCUUCCCGCGUGACUCUAGUUUGUGUCAAGUUGACUAAAAUCUAGCCAGGGUGUUCAACUUGCUUACACCUGUGGAGAUCCUGUCUCUAGACAAGUAUACACCCCAAAGCUCUCCAGUUCCAAAUUAUAUACGAUUCAGCCCAUUGCAGAUUAGACGGCGUGUAGAAGUCCUGUACAAAUUCUAUUUGAUCAUAGAUUAAAUGAAUUGUCCUCCUUCAUGGGGUGGGAAAGUAAGAGAAAGACAGACUAGAAAUGUGUCUCGGCAGUUCCCCUUACGUGGUGUGAAGAUGAGGAGAACGUUUUCCUUUAGCAAGAGUUGCCCAAAUUGAAUGAUUUUGUUAAAAAAAAAAAAAAAAGAUUGAAAAGCUACUUAGGCAUCCAUCCAUCUCCAGAACGUUCAUUAUUUAGAAGGGACUGAUUUAUUACAGCCCCAUUUAGCAAAGACAGAUCAUCUCCCGUGUUUUGGUGUGUUACAAUGUUUUUUUUAAAGAUUUCAGGGAGAAAGACAAAUGUUUUCAGAAAGACGGGAGGUAAAAUUGACGUUGCGGAGAUCUACUGGGAGACUGGCGGUAAUUAUGAAUGUAUAAGAUGGAUGCCGAAAGUAGUAACAGUUCCCCGCUUACACAGCAGUUCGUUGAACUGAGGAGGAUCAUCACGUCUGAGGUCUCCUGGGCAUCAUUCGCAUACCAACAGGAAGCCAUGCCAGUACACUGAUAAAGCUUCCUUCUUGUUGGCACGAAUGACCAUUCGGAUGCCUUUAAGACCUACUAUUGUAUCAACCAUUCAAACUCCCUCCCUCCCCUCUGUCAAAGGCUUCCCCCCCACCAAAAACUUGCGGGGCUACUCAGCACUUUGUAUGGUCUGCCCUGGAAACAGUUAUACAGUGUGCCUGUGGUGGUUUGAGAUCAGUCCUACUUACAGAAGAGAGGGGGGACUCCCUGGCCCCCCAAAGAUGCUUGGUCUGUUUCUUCCCAGACUGUAAUUAAAUUGAAUGUUC